GAUGAAGAACGCAGCGAAUUGCGAUAAGUAAUGUGAAUUGCAGAUUUUCAGUGAAUCAUCGAAUCUUUGAACGCACCUUGCGCCCUUUGGCCAUUCCGAAGGGCAUGCCUGUUUGAGUAUCAUGAACACCUCAACUCUUUAUGGUUUUCCAUGAUGAGCUUGGACUCUGGGGGUUUUGCUGGCUCACAGUCGGCUCCUCUAAAAUGAAUCAGCUUACCAGUGUUUGGUGGGUAUCAUGGGUGUGAUAACUAUCUACGCUUGUGGUUUUUCCACCAGGUAACCUUCAGCAAUGGAGGUUCGCUGGAGCUCAUAGAUGUCUCUCCUCAGUGAGGACAGCCCUUUGAAUGUUUGAUCUCAAAUCAGGUAGGACUACCCGCUGAACUUAAGCAUAUCAAUAAGCGGAGGA
rnacentral:misc_RNA from 1 species